rnacentral:rRNA from 1 species
UCCAGCAUGGAAUAACAUGUAAGGACUCAAGUUCUUCUUGUUGGUUUAAGAACCUGAGUAAUGAUUAAGGGGAACAGUCGGGGGUAUUCGUACUCGGUCGUCAGAGGUGAAAUUCUUAGAUUGACUGAAGACGAACUACUGCGAAGGCAUCUACCAUGGAUGUUUUCAUUAAUCAAGAACGAAAGUUAGGGGAUCGAAGAUGAUCAGAUACCAUCGUAGUCUUAACCAUAAACUAUGCCGACUAGAGAUUGGAAGCUGUCA